GAUGCUGCAGUAGGUGAUUUACUAUCACCCCUGAUAGAAUAAGAUGGUGGACUUUACCCAACCAUACAUGGAAUCCGGGCUAGUUGUAGUGGCCCCAAUCAAGAAGCUAGACUCUAAUGUUGGGUCUUUCUGGACCAUUUUCUCCAUUGUUGUGGUGUGUCACAGGAUUUUUUUCAUUAUGUAGGAGCAAUUGUUUGGCUUUUGGAACAUCGGUCCAAUGAUGAUUUUCGUGCCUCCUAAGAGACAAAUUAAUACCAUUCUGUGGUUCACCUUUUCAACAUUGUUCUUUUCCCAUGG